UGUGCCAGCCGCCGCGGUAAUACGUAAGGUCCGAGCGUUGUCCGGAAUCAUUGGGCGUAAAGGGUACGUAGGCGGGUAAGCAAGUUAGAAGUGAAUCUAUAGCUCAACUAUAGUAAGCUUUUAAACUGUUUAUCUUGAGGUAUGGAAGGGAAAGUGGAAUUCCUAGUGUAGCGGUGAAAUGCGCAGAUAUUAGGAGGAAUAUCCGGUGGCGAAGGCGACUUUCUGGCCAUAACCUGACGCUGAGGUACGAAAGCGUGGGUAGCAAACA
rnacentral:rRNA from 1 species